UGUAUGCUCGCCAGAGAAUACCAAAACUCUUUUUAUUAAUGUCGUCUGAGUACUAUAUAAUAGUUAAAACUUUCAACAACGGAUCUCUUGGUUCUGGCAUCGAUGAAGAACGCAGCGAAAUGCGAUAAGUAAUGUGAAUUGCAGAAUUCAGUGAAUCAUCGAAUCUUUGAACGCACAUUGCGCCCCUUGGUAUUCCGGGGGGCAUGCCUGUUCGAGCGUCAUUUCAACCCUCAAGCUUAGCUUGGUAUUGAGUCUAUGUCAGUAAUGGCAGGCUCUAAAAUCAGUGGCGGCGCCGCUGGGUCCUGAACGUAGUAAUAUCUCUCGUUACAGGUUCUCGGUGUGCUUCUGCCAAAACCCAAAUUUUUCUAUGGUUGACCUCGGAUCAGGUAGGGAUACCCGCUGAACUUAAGCAUAUCACCCCCGGAGAAAGAUGUACGACUUAACUUCCA
rnacentral:rRNA from 1 species